UAACUGUGAUAAUUUCUAGAGCUAAUACAUGCCGACAGAGUUCCGACCGUCGCGGCGCCCUCGGGCGUCGCUCGCGGGAGGAACGCUUUUAUUAGAUCAAAACCGGCCCGUCGCGGCGCGCAUCGUGCGCGUCCAGAUCGCGGCCCGCGCAAAGACCUGGUGACUCUGAAUAACUUCGAGCUGAUCGCACGGUCUCCGUACCGGCGACGCAUCUUUCAAAUGUCUGCCUUAUCAACUGUCGAUGGUAGGUUCCAUGCCUACCAUGGUGGUAACGGGUAACGGGGAAUCAGGGUUCGAUUCCGGAGAGGGAGCCUGAGAAACGGCUACCACAUCCAAGGAAGGCAGCAGGCGCGCAAAUUACCCACUCCCGGAACGGGGAGGUAGUGACGAAAAAUAACGAUACGGGACUCAUCCGAGGCCCCGUAAUCGGAAUGAGAACACUUUAAAACCUUUAAACGAGGAUCAAUUGGAGGGCAAGUCUGGUGCCAGCAGCCGCGGUAAUUCCAGCUCCAAUAGCGUAUAUUAAAGUUGUUGCGGUUAAAAAGCUCGUAGUCGGAUCUGUGUCUGGACGGUGCCGGACCACCCUGGCGGUCCGUCGUGUCGCGGCCGGCCGUGUCGCGGGACCACGUGUCCCGUCGGCGCGAUCGCCGUCGCGCUCGUCAGCCGUCUCGGGGUGUUAGUUACCGGCACGUCGGCCGGACGUAUUGUCGGCAGGCGGACACGUGUCUCGUGCUUCCGGCGCGCCGCGCGGCCACGCGUCGCGCGGCCGUCGGUGUUCGACGACGGCGGCCGCCUACUCCAAUCUUGCUGCGCGGUGCUCUUCACCGAGUGCCGUCGGCGGGCCGACACGUUUACUUUGAACAAAUUAGAGUGCUCAAAGCAGGCUCGAAUCUGGCGGGGCGGCUUCACGGCCGUCUCGUCAAAAGGCCCUGAAUACUGGUCGCAUGGAAUAAUGGAACAAGACCUCGGUCCCGCGCAUCUCCGCCCUUCGCGGGCGCGCGAAAUCGCCCUCCGGGGCGUUUCCGUGCGCGGGCCGCCGGGCCGCGGGCGCCAGUCGCCCGCGCGUCCCGCCGGGCCGGUUUUCGGGACCGGAGGUAAUGAUCAACAGAGACGGGCGGGGGCAUUCGUACCG
rnacentral:ncRNA from 1 species